UAAAAGUUUUCCCUCGUGUCGCCCUCCUCCCGGCGGCGCGAGGGGAUACAACCCUAGAUCUCCAGCGUCUCCCACCUACUCUCCCUUUUCUCCUUGCCGCCUCCCGAGGCAACUGUCGAGCAAAGCCGUGCGGUUGUCGGUGACGGGGGCGGCGGGGAUUUCCCCACGGCGGAGGUAGCCGACACGCUUUGAGCGCGGUGGUCGUAUGUGUCGUGUGAGUAGAAGGGAUCCAUCUGAGUGCAUGUUGCCGUCUUAUACUGCAUGUGUGGUGAUCAGAUUGGAUCUAGCCUAUUCUUCCCUUGAACGGGCCGAUAUGGCCCUUAUGGUACAACAACAGUGUGGCGGCGCUCGAGAUGCUACGAGGCGGCCGGUGCGUGGAGCAUGGCUCUACAGGCCGCCAAGUAGUGCUUGUGUGGCUCGCCCGCGAGCCCGAUCUGGGACCAAGCGAGUUGUGGUGUUCGGAUGGUGUAUCUUGUGGCUGAUGGUGGUUAAAGUCCCUGCUGAUUUUGGUUCAGCCAAAGAGUAUGACCCCUAAAGAUUGUGUGGAACAAUUGAAGAAUUCGGAAUGCAUCAUCCAGAAGCUGUCGAGCAGACUAUUGUUUACUAGUUUCAUUUCUUCUAUUGAGUCGCAAGACAAACUGUAAUAGUAAGGGAGAUUUUUUUAAGUGAACACUGAGAUUGAAGUCUUUGUGUGCGCUCAAUCCAAACUCAUUCAUCCGAGUGAUGAUUCUGAAAUAUCCAUCUAAGUGGGCUAUUUAGCUUCGAUGUCGAAGAUUCAUUUC